rnacentral:rRNA from 1 species
GACGAACGCUGGCGGCGUGCUUAACACAUGCAAGUCGAACGGAAAGGCCCUGCUUUUGUGGGGUGCUCGAGUGGCGAACGGGUGAGUAACACGUGAGUAACCUGCCCUUGACUUUGGGAUAACUUCAGGAAACUGGGGCUAAUACCGGAUAGGAGCUCCUGCUGCAUGGUGGGGGUUGGAAAGUUUCGGCGGUUGGGGAUGGACUCGCGGCUUAUCAGCUUGUUGGUGGGGUAGUGGUUUACCAAGGCUUUGACGGGUAGCCGGCCUGAGAGGGGGACCGGCCACAUUGGGACUGCGAUACGGCCCAGACUCCUACGGGAGGCAGCAGUGGGGAAUAUGGCACAAUGGGCGGAAGCCGGUUGAAGAAACGCCGCGUGCGGGAUGACGGCCUUCGGGUUGUAAACCGCUUUCGCCUGUGACGAAGCGUGAGUGACGGUAAUGGGUAAAGAAGCACCGGCUAACUACGUG